rnacentral:rRNA from 1 species
UUGAACGCUGGCGGCAUGCCUUACACAUGCAAGUCGAACGGCAGCAUGAUCUAGCUUGCUAGAUUGAUGGCGAGUGGCGAACGGGUGAGUAAUACAUCGGAACGUGCCCUGUAGUGGGGGAUAACUAGUCGAAAGAUUAGCUAAUACCGCAUACGACCUGAGGGUGAAAGUGGGGGACCGCAAGGCCUCAUGCUAUAGGAGCGGCCGAUGUCUGAUUAGCUAGUUGGUGAGGUAAAGGCUCACCAAGGCGACGAUCAGUAGCUGGUCUGAGAGGACGAUCAGCCACACUGGGACUGAGACACGGCCCAGACUCCUACGGGAGGCAGCAGUGGGGAAUUUUGGACAAUGGGGGCAACCCUGAUCCAGCAAUGCCGCGUGUGUGAAGAAGGCCUUCGGGUUGUAAAGCACUUUUGUCCGGAAAGAAAUCGCACUUACUAAUAUUAGGUGUGGAUGACGGUACCGGAAGAAUAAGGACCGGCUAACUACGUGCCAGCAGCCGCGGUAAUACGUAGGGUCCAAGCGUUAAUCGGAAUUACUGGGCGUAAAGCGUGCGCAGGCGGUUGUGCAAGACCGAUGUGAAAUCCCCGGGCUUAACCUGGGAAUUGCAUUGGUGACUGCACGGCUAGAGUGUGUCAGAGGGGGGGUAGAAUUCCACGUGUAGCAGUGAAAUGCGUAGAGAUGUGGAGGAAUACCGAUGGCGAAGGCAGCCCCCUGGGAUAACACUGACGCUCAUGCACGAAAGCGUGGGGAGCAAACAGGAUUAGAUACCCUGGUAGUCCACGCCCUAAACGAUGUCAACUAGUUGUUGGGGAUUCAUUUCCUUAGUAACGUAGCUAACGCGUGAAGUUGACCGCCUGGGGAGUACGGUCGCAAGAUUAAAACUCAAAGGAAUUGACGGGGACCCGCACAAGCGGUGGAUGAUGUGGAUUAAUUCGAUGCAACGCGAAAAACCUUACCUACCCUUGACAUGCCACUAACGAAGCAGAGAUGCAUUAGGUGCUCGAAAGAGAAAGUGGACACAGGUGCUGCAUGGCUGUCGUCAGCUCGUGUCGUGAGAUGUUGGGUUAAGUCCCGCAACGAGCGCAACCCUUGUCUCUAGUUGCUACGAAAGGGCACUCUAGAGAGACUGCCGGUGACAAACCGGAGGAAGGUGGGGAUGACGUCAAGUCCUCAUGGCCCUUAUGGGUAGGGCUUCACACGUCAUACAAUGGUGCAUACAGAGGGUUGCCAAGCCGCGAGGUGGAGCUAAUCCCAGAAAAUGCAUCGUAGUCCGGAUCGUAGUCUGCAACUCGACUACGUGAAGCUGGAAUCGCUAGUAAUCGCGGAUCAGCAUGCCGCGAUGAAUACGUUCCCGGGUCUUGUACUCACCGCC